rnacentral:rRNA from 1 species
CAGUAGCCGCGGUAAUACGAAGGGUGCAAGCGUUAAUCGGAAUUACUGGGCGUAAAGCGUGCGUAGGCGGUUUGUUAAGUCUGUUGUGAAAUCCCCGGGCUCAACCUGGGAAUGGCAAUGGAUACUGGCAGGCUAGAGUGUGUCAGAGGAUGGUGGAAUUCCCGGUGUAGCGGUGAAAUGCGUAGAGAUCGGAAGGAACAUCUGUGGCGAAGGCGACUAUCUGGGCCAACACUGACACUGAGGCACGAAAGCGUGGGGAGCAAACAGGAUUAUAUACCCCGGUAGUCCCUGUCUCUUAUAC